GUGAGACCAGCGGACCCUUCGCAGGCAAGCCGGCUGAAGGCAGCCAGCCUGCCGUGUUUUGGGUGGCAAAAUGCCUAGAGCCGCCUCUGGUCCCAGGAUUGUCU